UACGUAGGGACCAAGCGUUGUCCGGAAUUACUGGGUGUAAAGCGCGUGUAGGCGGCAGGCCAAGUCUGUGGUGAAAUCGCUCGGCUCAACUGGGCGGGGUCCAUGGAAACUGGUCAGCUGGAGGACGGUAGAGGUGAGUGGAAUUCCCGGUGUAGUGGUGAAAUGCGCAGAUAUCAGGAGGAACACCAAUUGCGAAGGCGGCCUUCUGGGUCCGCCCCUGACGCUGAGGCGCGAAAGCGUGGGGAGCGAACGGG
rnacentral:rRNA from 1 species